AUUGAACGCUGGCGGCAGGCCUAACACAUGCAAGUCGAGCGGAGCGGCGGACGGGUGGGUAAUGCCUAGGAAUCUGCCUGGUAGUGGGGGAUAACGUCCGGAAACGGGCGCUAAUACCGCAUACUAUCAGAUGAGCCUAGGUCGGGUUAGCUAGUUGGUGGGGUAAAGGCAUACCAAGGCGACGAUCCGUAACUGGUCUGAGAGGAUGAUCAUUCACAAUGGAACUGAGACACGGUCCCGACUCCUACGGGAGGCAGCAGUGGGGAAUAUGGGACAAUGGGCGAAGGCCUGAUCCAGCCAUGCCGCGUGUGUGAAGAAGGUCUUCGGAUUGUAAAGCACUUUAAGUUGGGAGGCGUUACCAGCAGAAUAAGCACCGGCUAACUUCGUGCCAGCAGCCGCGGUAAUUC
rnacentral:rRNA from 1 species